CCCGCCUCAGCCUCCUGAAGUGCUGGGAUUACAGAACAGGGAGCCUGCCCUGGCUCGUCCUGCCCCACCUCUGGCUCCCUGGAUGUUCUCCAGCCCUGCCCUGGCCGCUGCACAUCGUCUGCACCAGCCUGUGAGCCUCCUGAGGACAGGAUCCUGUCCUGCCUGCUCCUGCUCCUGCCAGGCACUUGAGGGAUUGCUCUGUGGCUGAGCAGGAGAGAGCUGGACUGGACUUCAGGGGACUCUUAGCAAGCCAGGGAGUAGCAAAGCCCCCACGGCCGGUGCCCCCAGGGCACCUCCCAAGACUGUCCUCUGGAGCUCAGCAGUCUGUGCUCUCCGAGGGGUCCCCGGUUUGCUGUGUGCCCCUGGGCUUGUGGCAUUCCCUCUCUGGGCCUGCUCCCCUCUCCAUGAAAUGAGGGGGCAGGAGGAGCCAAUCUCUGAGGUCCCUUCCAGCUCAAACACCUUCUGUUCUCUGAAAUCCACGUGAACGUUGCUAUGGAGACGUCAGAGGAACUGCGGCAGCGCUGAACGAGACUUCCAUCCGAGAGAGAGGCACUGAGUCAGCCCAGAACGUGGGUGACGUCACAGGAAAGCUCUUCCUGGUGUCCAGAGAUGGAGUCUCUCCAUGUUGUCCAGGCUGGCCUC